rnacentral:misc_RNA from 1 species
UGAGUGGUGUUUGGUUUGUUACGUGUGGUUGGCUGCGGCGUUUGCAACAACUUCCAUGCUUUCAGACCUCUUCAGUUGUGCGGCAAGGCUUGUAUCGCCUUGAGCGUAUUGUGGGUUUUCUGUGUUGGCUACCUAAUCAAUGGUAUCGGUUGGAUUGAUCAAUGUUUCAUUUCGUCUACCGUCGCAUUCGCGGCGUGAGAUGAACCUUGAUGCGGUCUCUUUGAUCCACCUCGUCGAAGCGCAUGCUUUGGCGUUGUGGCACAUUGAGCAUUGCUUGGUCUCUUGUAUACGGAACAUAUAGUGGGCAUGGAUCUAACGAUUCUCGUUUGCCCUCAUAUUAGCGUAACGCUUCUCUUACACGACUUGCACCACGUUUUAGCUCGUACGGACGUGGUGCUAUGUCGAAGAGGAAUGCUACCUGGUUGAUC